rnacentral:rRNA from 1 species
GACGAACGCUGGCGGCGUGCUUAACACAUGCAAGUCGAACGGAAAGGCCUCUUUCGGGGGGUACUCGAGUGGCGAACGGGUGAGUAACACGUGAGUAACCUGCCCUUGACUUUGGGAUAACUUCAGGCAACUGGGGCUAAUACCGGAUAGGAGCUCCUGCUGCAUGGUGGGUGUUGGAAAGUUUCGGCGGUUGGGGAUGGACUCGCGGCUUAUCAGCUUGUUGGGAGGGUAGUGGCUUACCAAGGCUUUGACGGGGAACCGGCCUGAGAGGGUGACCGGCCACAUUGGGACUGAGAGACGGCCCAGACUCCUACGGGAGGCAGCAGUGGGGAAUAUUGCACAAUGGGUGGAAGCCUGAUGCAGCAACGCCGUGUGCGGGAUGACGGUCUUCGGGUGGUAAACCGCUUUCGCUCAUGACGAAGCUUUGUGUGACGGUAGUGGGUAAAGAAGCACCGGCUAACUACGUG